rnacentral:rRNA from 2 species
CAAAGCUUGGUUUGGAGUGGUUUCCGCCCUUUAUUGCUGAACUUAACGCAUUAAUCACUCCCCCGGGGGAGUACGGCCGCAGGGCUGAAACUCAAAGGAAUUGACGGGGGCCCCCACAACCGGUGGACCAUGUGGUUUAAUUCAAACCACCGCGAAAAACCUUACCGGGUCUUGACAUCCUCUGAAAACCCUAAAAAUAGGGCUUCUCCUUCGGGAGCAAAAUGACAGGUGGUGCAUGGUUGUCGUCAGCUCGUGUCGUGAGAUGUGGGGUUAAUUCCCGCAACAAGCGCACCCCUUGAUCUUAGUUCCCAUCAUUAAAUUGGGCACUCUAAGGUGACUGCCGGUGACCAACCGGAGGAAGGUGGGGAUGAAAUCAAAUCAUCAUGCCCCUUAUGACCUGGGCUACACACGUGCUACAAUGGACGGUACAAAGGGCUGCAACACCGCGAGGUGGAGCUAUUCUCAUAAAACCGUUCUCAGUUCGGAUUGUAGGCUGCAACUCUCCUCCGUGAAUCUGGAAUCCCUAAUAAUCUCGAAUCAGGGUGCGGCCAUGAAUAUUUUCCUGGGCCUUGUACCCUCCGCCCGUCACCCCCCCGAGAGUUUGUUUAAACCCCGAAAAUCGCUUGGCCUAAACUUUUGG